rnacentral:rRNA from 1 species
AGCAGCCGCGGUAAUUCCAGCUCCAAUAGCGUAUAUUAAAGUUGUUGCAGUUAAAAAGCUCGUAGUUGAAUUUCGGGAUCAAUACGCCUGUCGUGCCUUCGGUACGUACGGGUGUAAUUGGUCUCUACCUUCUGAGGAUCCUUGAUGUCAUUAAUUUGGUGUCUUGGGGAAUCAGGACUGUUACCUUGAAAAAAUUAGAGUGUUUAAAGCAGGCAUACGCUUGAAUACAUUAGCAUGGAAUAAUGAAAUAGGACGUUCGAUUCUAUUUUGUUGGUUUCUAGGAUCGACGUAAUGAUUAAUAGGGAUAGUUGGGGGCAUUAGUAUUCAAUUGUCAGAGGUGAAAUUCUUGGAUUUAUUGAAGACUAACUACUGCGAAAGCAUUUGCCAAGGAUGUUUUCAUUAAUCAAGAACGAAAGUUAGGGGAUCGAAGACGAUCAGAUACCGUCGUAGUCUUAACCACAAACUAUGCCGACUAGGGAUCGGAUGAUGUUAAUUUUUAAUGACUCAUUCGGCGCCUUAA